rnacentral:rRNA from 1 species
UACAGAGGGGGCAAGCGUUAUUCGGAAUUACUGGGCGUAAAGAGCGCGCAGGCGGUCGAUCAAGUCGAGUGUGAAAGCCCCCGGCUCAACUGGGGAGGGUCAUUCGAUACUGAUCGACUCGAAGGCAGGAGAGGGUAGUGGAAUUCCCGGUGUAGUGGUGAAAUGCGUAGAUAUCGGGAGGAACACCAGUGGCGAAGGCGACUACCUGGCCUGUUCUUGACGCUGAGGCGCGAAAGCUAGGGGAGCAAACGGG